AGGACGAACGCUGGCGGCGUGCUUAACACAUGCAAGUGGAGCGACGAACCGGGCUUCGGCCCGGGGCAAAGCCGCGAACGGGUGAGUAACACGUGGGUAACCUGCCCCAAUGAUCGGGACAACCCGGGGAAACUCGGGCUAAUACCGAAUGUGCUCCCGCCACAUCAGUGGCGGAUGGAAAGGAGCUUCGGCCUCCGCAUUGGGAUGGGCCCGCGGCCCAUUAGCUUGUUGGUGAGGUAACGGCUCACCAAGGCUGCGAUGGGUAGCCGGCCUGAGAGGGUGACCGGCCACGACUGGGACUGAGACACGGCCCAGACUCCUACGGGAGGCAGCAGUGGGGAAUAUUGGACAAUGGGCGGAAGCCUGAUCCAGCAACGCCGCGUGAGGGAUGACGGCCUUCGGGUUGUAAACCGUCUUUCAGCAGGGACGAAGCGCAAGUGACGGUACCUGCAGAAGAAGCACCGGCCAACUACGUGCCAGCAGCCGC
rnacentral:rRNA from 1 species